rnacentral:rRNA from 1 species
UUUAUGGAGAGUUUGAUCCUGGCUCAGGAUGAACGCUGGCGGCGUGCCUAAUACAUGCAAGUCGAGCGAACGGACGAGAAGCUUGCUUCUCUGAUGUUAGCGGCGGACGGGUGAGUAACACGUGGAUAACCUACCUAUAAGACUGGGAUAACUUCGGGAAACCGGCGCUAAUACCGGAUAAUAUUUUGAACCGCAUGGUUCAAAAGUGAAAG